UGCUGUAGUCCGGUCGCCGAGCCCGUACGACGGGGACGACGGGCGGGCCGUCACAGUGAGUGAGCGAGCGCGACAGCAAUAUAAUUAAUUUCGCGCGAGCGAUAAGGAUGGGUAGCAUGGUGUCAUUGGACGAAAUUCUACGUGUUCGGCGCGGCGACGUGAUAAAGAGAGAGCGAAGGAAUAAAACCUCAGUAAAAUAAUAAUUAAAUAAUAAAUAAUAUUUUGCCACCUAGGUAUAUUUUGUGCCAGCACGGUAUUAUUACUCGUAAAUAAAUAGGUAGGUGCUAUUAUUAUCGCGAGUGACGCGCAAACGAAUGCAA